GGAAACAUGGAGCGCGCCGAAAACACAAACAAAUCGACAAUAAAAGCCAUACCGUGUGAUAAGUAAAAUAAAAUGUAAUAUGAAAUAAUACUGGUGGUUGGUGUGUAUUUGUGUUAAUAUUACUGAAGCGACUGUUGUAAUAGGUAUAAUGUUUGUGUGUGUGUACUUGUGUACUUGAAGAAGGUAAUGUACCGUCAACACCCACGAUGUAAAACAAACAUGGCGAACUCUGGCCUGUGCUGGAUUAGGAGCAACCUAACAUUAACGAACACAAACACACGCUUGGACAGAAAAUCACAGACGCUACGCAUGCAUAUACCCCCAUGCUUGACCGCUAAAUUUAAACGUUUGCAGUAAUUCCGUUUAAGUAUUCAGGACAAUACAAGCGCUUGAUGAUUUUGAAGGCAUAUAGACAAUGUCUGCUCAGCUCUCAAGGUUAAGCUGAAUCAUUGGCCCCCUCCCUCUCACGUCCUUCACCUUCAGCACUGGACUGUCUGCCACCAUUUCCUGGUUUUUGCAGCAUGCCGUCGGUACCUGCGGAUAUCCAGAGCUCUAGCCAGUCAGCGCAGUCAGGCCAUGCUUCAGCCAAUCAACACAGUGAGAAGCUGUGCCUCAUCCAAUUACCGCUACAAGAGCCCUUUGCCAACAUCUUACCAGAGCCACACAGAGACGUGCUCUUCUGAAAUUCAUAUAAACUGUUAAGCGUUUUCCUCUUGAUAUUAACACCCUCUGUAAUCUUAAAAAAGAACUAAUUAUGCCUGUGUGCAUUUAAAUAGAUAGACGCUAGGCAGUAUUCCAAAUCACAGUUUUUGAAGAUUAACAUAGUGCAGUUCAAAUGUUUGCCACUUUCUUCCUGAAUUUACAAAAAAAAAAAUUAUAAUUAUAGUUAGAUCUAGGUUAAGUUACAGAUGUGGUUUUUUUAGGUUAAGUUACAGAAACAGCAGAUGUGAUUUUGACUGAUUAAGGGUUAUUAUUAGUAUGUUUGUCUAAGCUCCAGGGCUCAACAUUUACCAUGGUUUGACAUGCUGGUGUGAUCCUUGCAAAAGGUGCUGUAGGACUCCAAUUAAAGCUCAAUCAUAAAUUAUUAAAAUUUUUCGAUCUAGAGGAUGCUCCAGGCUAGGCAAGCUCUUUGUAUUGCAUUAUCAUAUUCAUAUUUAGUCGCUUCUGAAUUUUUGUGGAUUAACCCCAUUGAUAUCUAUCUGUGAUCUGUCUGGAAAUGCUGUUACUAAUUUUAUGAUGACCAUCAGUGCCAGGAUAUGUCUGGACUUUGUUUUGUUUUUUUCACAAAUAACCUUGAACUGUAAGAGGGGUUUAGUGUUGAUGUGCGUGGCAGUGUUAUGUCAGAAAUAGUUUUCUGUAUGCAGUAUGCUUUCCAUAAUGUGCUCACGGGGUUGCUGGGUUUAUGAAUUGUCUGGCUCUUUACCUAUAGCUUGUCAAGUACAGGGCUUUUAAAAAAAAGUCUCCCACUCUAGCCUGUUUCUCCUCAUCCCACUCCUCCUCCUGCUCCUCCCCCACCCUGAGGAGAAUGUGUGGGUCAUAUGGGUUUUCACUCGUCUCUUUCCCCGCUUCUCUCAUCUCCCGCCACCCGAUUCGGCCCUGAGACCCCUUUGCUGUGCUGGAGAACCCCAGAGUGUUGCACUCCCCCCUCUGCUCAGUAAACGUGUUAGACAGCUGAAUAAGACUCUUUAUUUUAUUUUUAAUUUAAUUUUUUUUUUUGGGUGAGAAGGCUAGGCCCGCUACAGGGUGAGAUAAGGAAUUCAUCUCCAGUGAACAGCCAGUUCCUGGGCUGUCUGAUACUGUGCUCCUGAAAUGAUAAAGGUCAACAAUGGGGCGGCAUGAGAGAGGCUGUUUCACCGGAUAAGAAUGAUAUACUGCACAAAUAUAAAACGCCACACAUUAGCGGGCAUUCAAACACAGGGACACACACACACACGCACACGCACACGCACACGCACACACACACAC